AAUUCAUACUAGAGCAGAUAUUCCAGAUUGAUCUGAACAGAUCAAAAUGGAUAGACGUAAGUGUCAUCUUCGUCAUGAUAAUCACCUAUCGAAUCAUCUUCUUUAUCAUGAUCAAAAUCAACGAGGAUGUCACGCCUUGGAUCAGAGGUUACAUUGCCAGAAGAAAAAUGCAGCAGAAAAAUGGGAAUCAAAAACAGACUAUUGCUCCAUAUGGUCUCACUCAAUCUCCCUCUCUUAGGGCCUAUGUGGGAAAUAACCAUGGACCAAAUAGCAAUCGUUAAUAGGUUAAGUGAGGCAUAGCAAUGUUAACUAAUAAAGUCAAAAAAUGAAGGCUUAUUAUUCGUUACUACAAAAAUUUGUAUCAAAUUAUAUACGAGGUGAUGGUAUUUUUUUAUUUUUUUUUCCAAACUUAACCAUUCUUCAACUUGGUGCUUUAAAUAUGUGCUAGUAUGAGAUUAUCAACUGCCAAAUGUUGCUUUUUUUUCUUCUCCUUUUCUAUUACUAUUGUUUAUGCAAGAGAAAGUGCAUAUUUUGUAUGUCAAAUAGGUGUGAUUCUUUUUCUUUUUUUUUUUCUUCUUAUUCUAUAAAUUUGGUCAAACAAUUCAACUUUGAAAAAAAAAAAAAA
rnacentral:lncRNA from 1 species